UACGUAGGGGGCAAGCGUUGUCCGGAAUCAUUGGGCGUAAAGAGCGUGUAGGCGGCUUGGUAAGUCCGCUGUGAAAGUCCAGGGCUCAACCCUGGAAAGCCGGUGGAAACUGUCAAGCUUGAGUCCGGAAGAGGCGAGUGGAAUUCCUGGUGUAGCGGUGAAAUGCGCAGAUAUCAGGAGGAACACCGGUGGUGUAGACGGCUCUCUGGACCGUAACUGACGCUGAGACACGAAAGCGUGGGUAGCAAACAGG
rnacentral:rRNA from 1 species